rnacentral:tmRNA from 1 species
GGGCUUGUUCUGGAAUCGAUUGGGUAACGGGUGGCUCAUAAGCAUGCAGUCGGUAGACUAUAAAUACGAAUUAAAUUUAAACGCAAACAAUAAUUUUGCAUACGCUUGCUAAGUAAAGCAGGCACCCAUGUUGUCUUUAUUUGUUGAGAUAACAUCUGGUUCAGAAAAACAAAUUGCUUGAUUGCUUUCCUUUAAAGCAAUCACUAAGAUUUAAAAGGAAAACUUAGUUGUUUUGCCUAUAGAAUAACUAUUUUACAAAUAUAGGAUAAGCAUGUAGAAGUUGAACAGGAAGGUAUUCAAGACCGGGGUUCAAAUCCCCGCAGGUCCACCA